rnacentral:lncRNA from 1 species
CCGUUAGCUUGCAGUUAAAAACUGUUUGGCAGCUUCGCUGGGGAAUGUAAAUAAUUUUUAUAUUCAAGUUGCAUUUAUAUUUUAAAAAAUAUACACACAUCACCCGCGAUGCUGAACUGGGAAGAGCCUGCUGGAGUAGGUUUGCCUUUUGGCUGUCCUUAAUUGGACCAUGUAUGGUAAUUAGGGCUUCCUUAAGCAAUAUUUACCGAUAGAGACUUUCGCAAGGGAGCAAGCAAAGAGAGCCUGGUGCAUCUUGGUUUUCACUGAACCAUUGGCAGCAGCAGCAGAGAGAAACAUUAACCCGCCGGGGUCGGGCCGCCAGCUCCCUGGCUUGCUGUAGGGCUAAUCUAAUGGAGGGUCAUCCAGGAAUUGGGCUGUUCAUCAUUUUGUCCCCAGGCAGAGACAGAUCCAGUACAGGACAACCAAGACAUGCCCCAGAUGCUGAUAUCCUACAAGGGGACCCAAAGGAUACAUGGGGCUCAGAAGAAAUAUCCAGGACUGAUGUGAGCAAGGGCUUUUCAUGAAGCCACCAAAGCCAGCCAUUGCUUAAGGUUGAGCAUCCAACUUGGAGCUGUCAUUCUUGGAAGGAAACCAAGCCACUGGGGUGAGUUUCUAGGAAUUUAGGCCAUAUCUGCUCCCUCCUACUUCUCUCUUCCCCCAAAGG